UACGUAGGGUGCAAGCGUUAAUCGGAAUUACUGGGCGUAAAGCGUGCGCAGGCGGUGAUGUAAGACAGGUGUGAAAUCCCCGGCUCAACUGGGGAGGGUCACGCGAUACUGCGCGACUCGAAGGCAGGAGAGGGAAGUGGAAUUCCCGGUGUAGUGGUGAAAUGCGUAGAUAUCGGGAGGAACACCAGUGGCGAAGGCGACUUCCUGGCCUGUUCUUGACGCUGAGGCGCGAAAGCUAGGGUAGCAAACGGG
rnacentral:rRNA from 1 species